AGUAAAAUUCCUGGGUUAUUUGGUAACCCUAAUUUUUUGAGGAAUUGCCAAACUGUUUCCCAAAGUGGCUGCACUACUUUACAUUCCCAUCAGCAGU
rnacentral:pre_miRNA from 1 species